rnacentral:rRNA from 1 species
UACGGGGGGGGCAAGCGUUGUUCGGAAUUACUGGGCGUAAAGCGUGCGCAGGCGGUUCUAUAAGACAGAUGUGAAAUCCCCGGGCUCAACCUGGGAACUGCAUUUGUGACUGUAGAGCUGGAGUACGGCAGAGGGGGAUGGAAUUCCGCGUGUAGCAGUGAAAUGCGUAGAUAUGCGGAGGAACACCGAUGGCGAAGGCAAUCCCCUGGGCCUGUACUGACGCUCAUGCACGAAAGCGUGGGGAGCAAACAGG